GUCUACAGCCAUGUCAACCUGAACACUCCUGAUCCCAUCUGAUCUUGGAAGCUAAGCAGGGUCGGGCCUGGUUAGUACUUGGAUAGGAGACCACCUAGGAAGACCAGGUGCUGUAGGUG
rnacentral:rRNA from 1 species